AAAAAAGCCAUGAUAAGGACAAAAGCUACUUUUACGGUUUACAGAGAGGGAAGUCAUGCUGAAAUCUUCCUAAUGCAGGAAAGUUGCUUACCACCUUUGAGCUGUAUUGGGGAAUUAAAGUAUCCAAUAUCGUCCAUGCGACGUUAUGCACCAGAGCCAUAAGUUUUUUAAAGCUUAUGGGAAAUUGGGUGGAACCACGAAAAACACAUUCGUCCCUUUC
rfam:Virgibacillus soli strain PL205 scaffold000039, whole genome shotgun sequence.